rnacentral:rRNA from 1 species
UACAGAGGUGGCAAGCGUUGUUCGGAAUUACUGGGCGUAAAGGGUUCGUAGGUGGCCACCUAAGUCAGACGUGAAAUCCCUCAGCUUAACUGGGGAACUGCGUCUGAUACUGGGUGGCUUGAGUGCAGGAGAGGAAUGCGGAAUUCCAGGUGUAGCGGUGAAAUGCGUAGAUAUCUGGAGGAACACCGGUGGCGAAGGCGGCAUUCUGGACUGUAACUGACACUGAGGAACGAAAGCCAGGGGAGCAAACGGG